rnacentral:rRNA from 1 species
UACGGAGGAUGCGAGCGUUAUCCGGAUUUAUUGGGUUUAAAGGGUGCGCAGGCGGCUUCUUAAGUCAGCGGUAAAAUUUCCGGGCUCAACCCGGUCGUGCCGUUGAAACUGGGAAGCUUGAGUGCAGAUGAAGUGGGCGGAAUUUGUAGUGUAGCGGUGAAAUGCAUAGAUAUUACAAGGAACUCCGAUUGCGCAGGCAGCUCACUAAACUGUAACUGACGCUCAAGCACGAAAGCGUGGGUAUCAAACA